GUACUGAGGAUUGCCCAUGAGCUCCGCGAGACAUUUUUGGGUCAAGUGCGCUGGCUGGGCUGGAUGGACAGAGAAACCAAGGAAGUCGCUAUGAGGAAGAUUAAAGCCAUGAAGAUAGAAAUUUCUGACGGGAAGACAUCAGACGACGGGGUUGUUGACGUGUGGCAUGACGACUUUCCUUUUGCUGGGAUAGAGUUGAACUUCAGGCGGAAUGCGACUGCGAAAUUACUUAAGUGGCUCCUAAGAAAUGACACGGGUGAUGACUGCAAAGGGCAUGGGUGAGCGGGACAUUUUUGUCAAGCAACAACUUCUGAACACCGCAGUGACUGGCAAACUUUUGUAUCUUGUACGAGCCUCCGUGUUUCUGUCAGUUCUAAUUACUUU